rnacentral:tRNA from 1 species
CAAGAAUUAGUUUAAUAAGAAUAUUAAUUUUGGAGAUUAGUGGUGAUUUAGGUCAUUCUUGA